CACAGAAGAUUUUGUGGUGAUA
rnacentral:miRNA from 14 species